CUCUCCGACUCUUCUCUUCCUCUCCGACUCUCAAUCAAGAUCAAUUGUCCCUUCUUUCCAGUUUUUUGUUCCCAUUUCGUGUUUCUGGAUAACUGGCGAAUUCGUCGGGCAUGUUAAGUACUUCAACGACGAAUUCGUCGGGCAGCUUGGCUCGUGAUAGUUUGACUAGAGAGAAAAAAAAAGACUUGAAAGAGCAGAAGAGACUUUCAAAGCCCUUGAUCUCAACAGAAGAGCAGAAGAGCAGAAGAGACCCUCUGUUAAAGAGCUGUUUUGGUUUUGAUACUUUUUUGCUACCGACGUUUGUCGGUUUGGAGAUGGAGGAAUUUUCAUUGGGAAUCUGAGAAAAGCCAUUGAUGAGGUCACACCUAAGCUUGAAGCUAAG